rnacentral:lncRNA from 1 species
AGAGGGGGAUUGCUGAACUCGUCUUUUGACGAGCUGCCUACGUACCCCUUUCGAGGAUCAAGCCAUCUCGUAGUUUUGUUUCAUGCCGCGAGUGUUCUUACUCGGCGGUAGAUGUUGCGAUGUCCGCCUUGACCGUGUCGAUCGUGGCUGGGUCAACGCUAUUUUCCGGAUGUUCCGGUUGAGUUGUCGCGUGGGCUUCCGACUUAUGUCGAGCUUCGACGUCAGAUGCGUUUACGUCGGUAGACGAUUUUAAUUCGUCUUAUCCCGGGGCGCUUUUGGCUGAAGAUCGAUCUAUCUUCGCGCUUUUGCCGUUUGCAGUUGCAGAAGCCG